GUGGGGAAUCUUGCGCAAUGGGCGAAAGCCUGACGCAGCCAUGCCGCGUGAAUGAUGAAGGUCUUAGGAUUGUAAAAUUCUUUCACCGGGGACGAUAAUGACGGUACCCGGAGAAGAAGCUCCGGCUAACUUCGUGCCAGCAGCCGCGGUAAUACGAAGGGGGCUAGCGUUGCUCGGAAUUACUGGGCGUAAAGGGCGCGUAGGCGGACAGCUUAGUCAGAGGUGAAAGCCCAGGGCUCAACCUUGGAAUUGCCUUUGAUACUGGCUGUCUUGAGUUUGGGAGAGGUGAGUGGAACUCCGAGUGUAGAGGUGAAAUUCGUAGAUAUUCGGAAGAACACCAGUGGCGAAGGCGACUCACUGGCCCAAUACUGACGCUCAGGCACGAAAGCGUGGGGAGCAAACAGGAUUAGAUACCCCAGUAGUCC
rnacentral:rRNA from 1 species